UGUCCCUCAUUGUCACGUUAAACAAAGCACCCAGUCAAUUAUUUACUGAUUCCUUCAUCUCUUCCUUCUUUCCUCCUUAAGGUGCUGCUUUAAUCAUGACUGCUGUUAUGGGAGAGCGGAGUCUGCUGGUUGUCACCCCAAGUCUGAUUGCUACAGCUGGUCCUGCUACAGAAGUACAGCGAGCUGUGGGGUACGCAAUAACAGAUGUGAAAAGAAGAUUUGUGAAUGUGAUGUGGUGCUAUCAAAAUGCUUAAAGAGGGCGAACUACCAGAACAGAUAUGCGUUAUGGCCCAAUUUCCUUUGUGGCUAUUCAAGGCCGAGGUGUUAAGGCCUUGGGAGAGAAAAAAAUCAAUGCCUAUUGUGAAUUGUUAAUUUUGUCUGAGCAUGAAACAAGCUAUGAUUUAACUCAGUAUAAGGAGUCAGCAACAAAAGCUUUUCACUGUACCUCGGUACACAUGACAAUAAACUGAACUAAAACUAAAAAA